AAGACGUGGGCACGCGGUAUCGCGCUUUGCGCGCGCGAGAGUGCUGACGUGGCAUGCGCAAGGGAGAGAAAUCCUGGGGAAGGGCAGUGGGCCCGCGGCGUCGCGCUUUGGGAGCGCGAGACCGAAAGCGGUAUCGCUAUACGCGAGCGCGAGAGCGAGGAGCGAGGUGGGGCAGCGUUGUCGCGCUUUGAGGGCGCGAGACCGAAAGCGGUUUCGCCUUCCGCGUGCGCGAGAGCGAGGAGCGAGGUGGGGCAGCGCUGUCGUGCUUUGAGGGCACGAGACCGAAAGCGGUGUCGCGCUUUGCGCGCGCCGGUCGCGGCAGCAGGCGCGGUAUCGCGUGAACUAAACUUUGAGGCAGCAAUUGUUAUACGAGCAAGCUGGUUAAAAGGGAGUAGGCGGUAUCUGAUAACCGAAGGAAUGUCGGCAUUUAUAGUGUAUUUCGGUGAAGGUGAAAUUCUGGAAAAUGAAAGUGGUGUCGAUCUGAGCAACUUUAGGCAAUGCACACUACACCAUCCAAAUCCUGACACCCUUACCAUGCCCGAAGUUUGGAGACGGGGAUAUGAAUAUGUCAUGCUGGUGCAAGCAUGUCAAGGAAGAGUCCCCACGGAGAGCGCAGCGGGGCAAUCCAGCAACCGUGAGGAGUUGGGGUCUAGUUCACAUGAAGAAGAUGAAGUUGUAGCUCCCCAUCGUGGUGGGGAUGUUGGUCCUGACAUUCAAAAUCUAUCCAUACAAGGAGAUGAAGUGGUCAACCACCAUCCUACUGGUGAAGCCGAUGAAGGGGAGGACAUACCUGCUAUAGUCGAAGAAAUUGAGAGGGUGGACCGACAUGCAAUCGAAGAUGAGGAAAACCUCGCUGCUGAAGAGAAUGAUGACGAAGAUGAACAACAAGUUGAGGAAGUACCUAUGCCUGCUUCGUGGAACCAAGAAGACCCUGGUUAUAUUGCAGAAAACUCUUGUCAUGAUUCAAUAUGGUUCUACGGGGAUGGCCAAAUCAAUCUGGGUGCAAUGUUCCGUGACAAAACGGGGCUGCAAGAUGUAGUGAAGUCAUGGUCAUUCAAGACGCAAAGGCAGUUCAGGAUUGUGAAGUCUAACAAGACUGAGUACACGGUCGUCUGUGACGGAAGGUUGCACCUUCCGUCUUCAUGGUCACGUGCCAAAGCUGGUAAGGGUAGAAGACAAACACGGCGCUUAAGAAAUGAUAUGGAUGCAUCCGAAGCGGGAGGGCCUGUGAGGCGAUGUGAGGAAUGUCUUCAGUACGGGCACCGCACUAGAGAUUGCAAGAAUAACAAGGAGGAUAUAGAAGAGGAGUGGCCUUACCCGUUGCUUAGCAAAGAGAUCGAUGCACGGCAUCGUGCAAAGAAGAUAUAUGAUGGGAAUUCUUGCUCUAGUCUAGCUGUCCUGAUACCGCGUACAGCCGGAUUGAGGGGAUUGAUCGACAAUGGAAGGCGAGGUUGUCAGCUGCAGGAAUAUUUGUGUCAUUUCAAUGGUACUGCACAACUAAAUCUACAACCUCUGAUCGUGCAGCCACAGUGGGCAAGAAUCCAGGUGCACAAUGUGCAAAAUAGGCAAGCUGACAACAGGUAUCGUCGAUCUAUGCACUCAAGGAUGACCCCAUGGAUAGAGGCGUGGUCCCAGGCCUUGAAUGAUGUCGUCCAUGAGACCAGGGCAUACGACCACAACACUUACAAACAAUACAUGGCCUGGUACACAUCACAGACUCGCAUCCGGCUGCUUGCACCGGAGGAUCCCGACGAGCGAGGUCCACCAACAAUUGAUCAAAUAUAUGAUAUGCAGCUAGCACCCCCCGCUCACUUGACGACCGACAUUGCAGGGGAGCUAGUAAAGGAGGCGAAAACAUUAUGGGAGAAGCUUAGAGAUGGAAUGGCUGGUACGAACCAGGAAGUAAUGGCUGCGGUCGACUCCCUCCGCCGAAAAGGAAAGCGAAUCAUGCGCCUCGCAUCAUGCCGUCAUUCCUCGGACAUCUAUAAUCCGGCAACAUCAAGAAGGACGUUCGAGCCAAUGCGUGAGCGUCCCUCUACCUCUUCCCGGCCGUCCACCUCAUCCCGCCCUUCAGCAUCCGCGCGACGAUCCAGUGAUGGUCGUGUAGGAGUAAGGUCAACUUCCUUUCGUGAGCCACCCACUAUUCCGACUAUCCCAGAAAUCACUGAAAUUUCUGAACGCCUAGGAGGCUUUGGUUCAACUCAAGAGGGAACGCGAAUGGUCCGUCCCGUGCCUCAUAUGCCUCCUGCUAGGCCACAAAUGAUUCGUCAAAUGGCUCCCGAUGUGCCAACCUCACACUGGCAAGGAGGAUUUGCACCAUUUGCAGGGCCUACUCAGCCGGUUCCACUGCAUGCACCUACAUAUGGCACCAACCCAUGGCAAGGACAAUCCAUGGAUUACGGUGGGUCAUUUCGCCCUGAACUAAUGUCAGGGUUUAGGCCUUACACUACAUCGUACGGCGACAUGUCCAGCUUCGGUGGAGGGUCGUCAUCGGUACCCAACGAGCUUCGCACUUCACAAACUGAUGAUGCACCCCAAGUGACACAGCCCACACAACCAGAGGUUGGCGAAGGAAACGACAAUGACCCGCGUAGAUCUAACCGUGAGCGCCAUGAGCCGAACUGUCUGUCACUCUCAGGCCCGCGACAUGCCGCAAGACAAAGGAAAAAAACUACAAAAAAACGAGGUGGCACAUCUACGACUACGACUGACCAUGACGAUGAUGACGAGUACAACUGA
rnacentral:lncRNA from 1 species